AAAUAUAUACUAUAAAAAUAGAUUUUAAAAGCAUGACCAAAUAACUAAAAUUAACCAAACAGCACGUAGAUACUAAAUAUGUGCUCUAUUCAUUCUAGAAUGAAAUCUUUCCUAUUUGUGGUACCUUUGAAAUGUCUCACAAAACACGGUGCUUCUUACAACACAACCAAGUAUUUUGGAUUAUUUAUACAAACAAGAAACCGCUCAAGGCAGGCAAGUGACAGUGGGCAUUUCUAACUCCUGUGUGCAGUCAUCAGCAUAUAUUGAAGGCAGUGCUGAAUAGUAGUCAAUAACUGUAAAGGCUUUGGAAUGUUAAUAUCCCAGUUUGAAUCUGCAUUCUAUCACGGUUUUGCUGUGUGAUUUGAGCAAAUGACAACCUGAGCCUCAGUUUUCUUACCUCAAUUAAUUCUCACAAUAACUCUAAGCAGUGGGUAUCUUAAGGAUACCUAAAUUUAUGGAAAUUAAAUAGCUUGCCCAAAUUCUUGCAGCUAACAGAGCAUAUGUAAAUCCAGAUCUCAUGCUGGAGAUUAUAACUUUAUUUUCUUCUUUGUGUGCAAUAGCUAUUUAAUCCACAGUCUAUUGCAUUUUCAAAAACAAACCAUGUUAUUGCAAUUCCUAUUGAAAAAGUCCCUGUCCUCCCUUGUUGAAAGUUAAUGGAUCUCCCCUAAACAGAACUCAUCUCUUCACUCCAAUUACUAUUUAUAACUGAAGCUUCUCCUGAAGAUAGUAGUUCCAGGAACACAAACUACAGCAUACACAGUUUGGAGUUGCUAGAUGGGAGAUACACCCAGGAACACACAAUGUCACGGGCAUCUGCUGUAGGUUGAGUAGCAGCUAUCUUACAGCUGUAGGAAACCUAACUCUGACAGCAGGGAAGCAUUUGCAAAUUUCAAACUAGCAACCUUUAAAUGUGACUAUCUGGGGCAUUUCCCACUUAUCCUGCUGUGUCAUUUACUUGAGUUCUUAUUUAGUGCCAGACCUUAUGCUGUUAACACAUGCUCUUAAUGACAGUCAUUUACUUUCUGACACAUUUCAGUUUCUCGACAUUAAUAAUGUGCAGAUAAUGUGAGAUAGAAAAAGCAUAGUGAAAUUAGACGGAAAAUGGGUUUGAAUCCGAACUUAAUUCUUCAUGAAGUGUAUAAAGAUGAACAAAUUGUCAAUAGAUUCUGAGUCUCAUUCAUCACUUGUAAAUGAGAAAAAUUACUACCUUGUAGAAUUGCUGUGAGGAUUACUGAUAAUGUAUAUAACAUGCACACAACAGAUAGCAUUCAGUAAAUGGCAGCUAGUAUUAAAUAGAAAUGUAAAAUGUCCCUUGAACAGCAUCUUCUUGGGAUCAUCUGGCAAAGUUUAAAUCAGAAUCCAGAACAAGAUGCUUAAUUAUCAGUAGCAGAGUUCGCGUAGAGGACACGCUACAAAGGAACAGCAUGUGCAAAGGCACAGAGAAGUCUGCUAUGGAAUUGCCUGUAGCUCAGUACAGGUAAAUAAAGUGUAAGUGGAGAAAUGUUACGGGUCGAGACUAAAGAGCCUGAAAUGCAGGUGGAGACCUGCUUUACAGUAUUACAGAACCAAGUGCCUCAUAUGCUUUGCACAAGUCAGGGCUUCAAGAGAGAGGGAAACGAUGAACUAAAUAUAGUAAGUUUAGUACUUUCAAAAAGUAUAUGAAUAUAUGUAUUGCAAUGUUCUGUAACGGACAAAUGAUUUCGAAUGCAGACAAGGAGAACUGAGGCAAAACUAACAGGCAGCAGCGACUGCCCGCUCAUAGCUGCCAGAGAUACUAUCCUGCAGGUUUUUUUCAGAGGUAAGAACAGGAAAGACGAGAGAACACGAGAAAACCAGCAAUUAAACGGCAAGCAAAGGAAUAACCACCAAGCAAUGAGUGAUCCAACCAAGAUUUAUGUAGAAGGAUGCUAAUUGCAACAAUAAGUGUUACAUUUAAAAGAGAAAAACUGGAAACAACUCUAGGAUCCAACAAUGGAGAAAAUGGUUAAAUAAUGCAUUAUUCCAGUUGGAGAUAUAAAGCAGAGAACCAUCAUUCUCAAAACUGUUCUGAGAGUCAGCAUGUCACCUCUUUCACUCCUCAAGCCUUCAGAAUUCCAAUGCUAAACAUUUCUCUGGCAUCUAAGGAACAAAACGUUCAGGAUAGAAAGGCUGUGAUACUACCCUGCUAGUAUCAAUCCACAUGCACCAGGUCCUGCUGAAGUGUUAAAUAGGUUGAUACAGGGAUGGAAUAAAACAAUAAAGUGUCUGAGAGAACUUCUGAGGAAAUAAUACUGUGCACCGCUUCUAGGGAAGGUGGCCCCUAGCUCUGCAUGACUAACAGCAGCCAUCACAGACACCAUGGCACAAGCAGCCCAAAUACUCAGGGAGACCCCACAUUGAGUGAGUUGUAUUUUAAUGCCCCUUCAGGAGAAACAAAUAUGCCUGUACCUAUUUUGAUACUGAAUAACAAAUUUGUUCCAUGGAAAUGUCCUAUUACUCAUUGA
rnacentral:lncRNA from 1 species